CUGUAGUUAACCUGGCCAGGUCUCGAUUGCCUUGCUUGCUGUGUAGCCAACGUUUCCUGCCCCUCGUGGUGUCCAGGGUAAGAACCGCUGCAGCGUAGCAGGUAAAAAACGCUGAGCAUCUUUGAUUCCAGCAGAAGCGAGGGGGAGGAAGCAUCUUGUAGGAAAAGCCCGGGCUUACUUCUCCAAAGCCAUCAGGCAGUCUUUGAUUAAAUCUCGUCCUCUUGACUGGAAGUCUUGUACCUGAGCUGCCUUCUCCCAGCAAAUGACACAGACUUUAACUGCUUCAUGUAAAAUAAGGAGGACUAAUUACUCUGAGGAUUUUACCUCUGUGUUUUCCAGUCCCUGUGCCUAAUACACCAUUCACUAAUGCUCUUUUUAAUUUUUUUUCCUGUAGAAGUGCACUGACCUCUUUCCAUCUGCCACCCUUGUCUUAUAAAUGCACCUAGCACAUAUAUCCACAAGGCACUGAGAGCUCUCCCCAUAACAGUGUUUUCUCUAGCAGGUUAUCAUAUUGCACCCUCCUCCAAGAUGCUUCCAUAGGGUUUGGGCAGCCACUUGAUUUGAAUUCAUUUUCCCACCGCUCCCUCUCCCCUGUUCCAAAUAAAGCACAUCAGAGGGCAAAUGUGGUACUGCUGGUAGAUGUGUAGCUACUGUUGUAUUGUGAGUUUUGU